GUGGCUCUGGGCAGCCUGGUCUGGUGGUUGGCAACCCUGCCCAUAGCAGGGGGUUGAAAGUCAAGGAUCAUUGUGGUCCUUUUCAACCCAUGGCAUCCUAUGAUUCUAUGAUAAACUGCUUCCUGAGAAUUCUGCAGCAGUUGCCAGAGGAUGGUAGCUGGUAAGGACAGAGAAGAAGAGGCUCUUCCUUCAAAACACCAUGUUGGGUACUUUUCUUCUCAGUACGAGACACGUGCAAAUCUACAUUCAUGCAUUUCCCCUGUGCCCUGGAUCUAUCUUCAUGGGCACCCAUGCAUCUUAUCACUGUUGUAGCUGAUGGCAUUAUUGUCACAUCAGUGGAGAAAGACAGAUCUGGUUAGCUGUUCUGGAGGCUCACUGUGAGCCACAGCUGUGCUGACAGUGCAGCGAGUUCCUGUCCACAGGACAAGCCCUUAGCAAGUCCUUGGAAGUGCUGAGAAGGAUGUAGGUGUAGUCUGGCUCUGCAUGCCCAUGCAUACCCUACACAGGCCUAAGAAUGACCUGCUGGUUCCAGAUCAGCUAGCGGAAUGUGUCAGCUGAGGUGUGUCUGUCUGCACUACCAUGGAGUGGGUGACACCUCCCAUACAGCAAGCCAUGAGUCUUACGUUCAUGGGGCACAGAGGGCCAGCAGCUGCUGUAACUUGUUUACAUGCAUGGGAGCCAGUGUUCUCAUGUGCUGGCCUUAGAUUUGGGUGCAUUCCCUCUCUGUACUGGAUCAUAGAAGGAUCACUAUGGAACUUCCUGAAGAAUCACUGAAGGGUUUGUUUCUCAUGGCUUCAGCUCAACAUUCUGCUCAAAGCAAGGCUCACUGAAGGUAUGUCAUGUUGCCUUAUCCAUCUUGGAGUGUCUCCAAGAUCAGAGGUCCCACCACUUCUCUAGUGGCUGUUGCAGAGCAGCACCACUCUUGCGAGAAGGAAUCUUCUCCUUAUGUCCAGCUAGAAUUUUCCCUGCUGUAACCUGUGCCCUUUGCCUCUUUCCCUAAUCCUGUGGACCUGUGAGAUGAAUCUGCCUGUCUGCUCUGUAGCUCCGUUAGGCAGCAGCCUGGUACCCCCCUGAUCUUCUUUUCUCCAGCCUAAAUAAUCCCAACACCUUUCACUUCCACCUCUUGCAGUUUCCCAGGCUGUGCAUACCCUCAAUUGCAUUAAAGCCUUCUUUUUUUUUUUUUCUUUUUUUCUUUUUUUUUUUUUUCCUUUGGGCUACCACUUCCUUGUAUAGUUUUCUCCUAAGUGUCUUCCUUCAGUAAGAACCUUCCAUCAAGGGCUACUCAACAUUUGGCAACCCAGAAGGUAGGAAUCAUCCUACAGCAGCAGCCUGGAGAAUCAGCCAGCACCCAUCCAUCAGGAUCGACAGAGACCUGCUCCAGAGGAAUGCUCACACCAAGAGCAAGCCCAUCUAAUCUCCUUGGUAGAUCUCAUCUCUGCUUUUUCACUUCUGCCCUUCCAGCACCCCUCUUGCUGAUCCUUAUCUUGGAAGAAGUGCACCGCUCUCAGGGCAGCAGACUGCAACAUCUCCCUGAGAACACUUUGUCCCCAGGUGCUUCCCUUCCCAAUACUCACUUGGAUGAGUCCUCGAGUGGUUAAGUGUGGAUUCCAGCCUCCUUGUGAGAGCACAGCUAAGCAGGCAUUUCACUGGCAACAGAGUGUGCACCGUGCCAGAAAGGAGAAGGCCCUUGAGUUUGUUGCAGCAGUGGAGCGUACAGAUCUCUGGGGGCUCUCCAUUGUGCUUGAUUACCAAACAUGCCGUAGCCUCAGGUGCACACAGCACUUAUCUCAUUCAUCUUAGAAGGCAAUGAAAGACACAGCUCUUCUUAGGCAGUAAGGUCAGUCAAAGAAGGGUUUGUCUGGAGCUGCUUUUCCAGGAAAAGAGCAGAAAACGAAUCCUUACUGAAUGGAAGAAUGUUGCUGGUUUCAACAUUCAUCCUCUUGAGAGCAACUCCAGUUCCCACUGAAAACCCUAUAUCACCUGGACCAAGCCCCAAAGCCCAUCAUGCUGAGACUCUACAUGCACCAUCCCAGCGUGUCCUGGUGGCUUGGCAACCAGGCCACUGCAAAGUUUGCACGUCAGAUUUGGUGGUACCACUCCUGUGUGCAAAACCUGCUAGGCACAACACUGGGAAAACCUGAGAAAGACAUUUUCACGUGGAAAGCACCCUUUAUCACCAAUUUGGGAUUUCUGAGCUGAUCACUUUUUGCGUUGUUUGAUUUUCUCAGGAAUGAAAACACUGAACAUUCAGUGAUUGGAUCUCAUGUGACUAAUGGGAUUUUGUGGCUGGUAGAAUAAUAUGAGCAGGGAAACAGAAACGCUCUGCAGUGCGUUGCAGAUGCUGAGGCAAUGGGGUUUGCUGCACAUGCUGCAAAGAAGAUGAUGCUGGACCACAGCACGCUGCAGAGGAGCACAGCUCUUCUGAGUUCCCUGUGUCUCCCACUCUCUUUCCUCCUUUCUGUGCUUUCUUGUCUCUUGCCUGCAGAAAAGGUGUUUUUUUUUUAAGGUUUUGCUUUUUUUUUUCCCUGAAGAGGCCUUGAAAACUCAGAAGCACAGAUCUUUCUAAACUUUCCAGUUAAAUAUUUACUGUCCCAGACAGAAAACGCUUCAUUCAUCAGUUGUCUGAAUACCCCCACCUGGAAAAGAAGCACUGAGCCCCAGAAAUCCUUCAGCAAACAAAUUCCUUCUCAUUACCGACUCCGUGGGCAUGACUGCUCUCAGGAAACUUGAAAGUCAAGCUACUCAAAAGUGCUGCCCAUACAUGUUUACCUUGGACUCUGGCUUCUCUCUUCAGACUAAAUCAGGUACUUUUUGUCUGGUUUGUCUAAACAAGUACAGCUGAGGAACAAAUGGUGGAGAAUUCCUUGUGUUCUGCUCUUGCUAACUGUGGGUUUCUGACACGCAUUUCUGCGAGCUUCUUGCAAACUCCAGGUCAGCCAGUCACAUCCACCUAUUCCGCAGCAGCAUGCUGACACCAGAAAUGUUGGCAUAUCCUCUUAUGCUUACUGCACCUCAUUUUCACUCCCUGCUUCAUACUUCUGUUUUUUACCUAGAGCACAGCUGACAACUGCAAAAUCUUGCUUUAGACCCAAGGCCAGCAAGCAGGCUGUCUGUGAUGGCAGUGUCUGUGGAAGCAGGUAUUCCAGGCCCUUAAACUUCAGCUGCACCCCUCUGAGAGACCGUAACAGACAGUUCAAUGUGCACCUGUCCACAGCAAGAUAAGGUGAAAGCUGAAAUCAACGUGUUUGGUUAAAACCGCCUGUAUCCAUCAGUGAGCCUGCAAGCUGCCAGUGCACCAUGGUGAGCAGGAAGAGCUGCACAAACAGGUAUCAGGUACAGCAAAAUUUCAAAGGCUGACAUUGCCAGAGUUGCCACCUUACUCUAUGGCUUUAUGUGUGCACUUUCCCAGAGGCCCAAAAACAAGCCUGUGCUCUCUGGUGCUAAGCAGACUCACCUCACCAAGAUCAGCUCUGCUUUUCUCUCUUAGUGACUCUGCACAUUUCAGCCCUCAACUAAGCUGUAUUAAUGUCCAUCAGGAAGCCACAGAGAGAGGCAAGGUAAUGCAGAUCUGUACCUGAUAUGAUCACAUUGUUGGUGUGGCAGGAGUAACCCUUGGGAGAGAUCAGGACCGCAGAUAUUGCAGCAUUGCUCAGCAGUCUUUGAAAGGAGCUUGUGCCUAUGCUGGGAAGCACCAGAUACAUGGUGACACUGCUAGCAAAUAGCCACUUCCCUGAGCCAGGCAGAUCUCUGGGAAGGGGAAGGGGAAGGAAAAGGAGAAGGGAAAAGAGAAAAGGGAAAGUGAAGGAAAGAGAAAAUGAAAACAAAAAAAAAGAAAAAGAAAAAAAGGAAACGAAAAAGAAAAAGAAAAAAGAAAAGAAAGAAAAGUGCUGACGUGGAAAGAGGGAAAGAGCCUGGUCUCCCAGCUGAAGCUGAUGCCUGAGACCCAGGAUGGGCUUCUACCUCUAACCAACCUCUGACUUGGUUAAGGCCCAAACUGCACUCACCAGCUGACCACAAGCUUCCACACUGCCCACACUUUCUUGGCAUAACACCCUGCAUAAGGAACAAGCAUCUCAUUCCUGUGCAGGCUUACAGCUUUCUAUCUUUUAGUCUCGUAUGAGAGAGGACACGUUACAGCAUAAUACAGGGAGCAACCUUUGCCAGUACUGACAGCAUGGUGGAACCAUCUUAGCCUUAACAUAUCCUCCCAGAAGAGCAUUUGUCUUCUAGAGAAGCUGCAGUUCCUGUGUGCAGCAGAUCAGGAGUGAAGACAAGUGUUGGCAAACUGGAGUGAGCUCAGUGCAAGGCCAUGGAGGUGGUCGUGACGCAUUUGAGGAGAGAAGGAAGGAACCAGGAUUCUUCAGCCUGGAGGGCAGAUGUUCCAGGUAUAACUGCAGUGCUUGUUUCAAUUUCAUUUCACAUCUGCCAGGAUACAAAAGUGAAGUUUUUACCUCUUUCACCUCCUUUUGAUCUCUGUGUAGAGGAUCUCUGCAUACCGUCUGCUGUUGUUAAGUCCCAGCCUAACCUGAGUACAGGCCUUCUGGACAUGGUGUAAGAAGCUUCAUUUCUUAGUGGUUGCUGCUAUUGUUCUCUCGACUGUCAGUAAUGACUAUUCUUUUACCCUUUUUCUGCUGCUGCUUUUUGUGUUUUAACACAUAAUUUCCAUUCACACUUCAUUGAGAUAAAUCCUAAGAAUUCUGUUAUGACCUAUACAGUGCCAUAACAUUAUACACAGAAAACAGCCAUAUAGAGGUUCUUAAAAUGCAUGUAAGGUUUUUUUUUCCUCCCCCUUUUUUUUUCCCCAGAAGUGAAGAAUGUCAAAAGGAGAGUGCAAAGCUGGUAGAAACAGAAUAAGAUCAGUCAAAACUAAUUAUCUGUCUGAAUUUCAGUCAUUCUGCAAGUGUCCUGCAAAAUGUAAUCAAAGGAACUGAGAAUGAUUUAGACCAGAAGGCACCACUGCAGUCCAACCUGGCUCCAACAGGGCUAACAACAAAGACAGAUGAGGUUCCUACAUUCCCACUGAGUACUGAAUAUCUCCAAACAUGGAUAUCCCACCAUCUCUCUGGAUGCUUUCCCACAUUUACACUUCUCUUGUUGGGAAGACCUGUUACUGUUUUCUGAAAAACCUCUCUUAAACCUGAGGUUCCCAAAGUGGACUCCAUUCUAGAAGCAACCUGAUGAGCAUCAAGAAGCAGAGGGAGAGCCUCCAUAAGCUUGCAAGGAUAACUCAGUCCCUGGUCAGCCACUGAGGCCACAGAGUCCUUGGAUAACACGUGUGCUGGCUGUCCACCAGGGCUGCAGAGCUCAACAGUCUGUGGUUCCCGUCCUGCACCGCUAUGGGCUCAUCCCAGCCAGGGGCAGGACACUGGGCUGUGACUACCAGGAGCCCGUUUCUGCAGCCUGCUGAGAUCCUCUGAAGGGCAGCACUCCCUUCCAGCACGUGCAGUGCUCCUCUGGUUUGGUGCCAUCCCCAGUGUCCUCCAUCCGCUCUUCUAUUCUGUUGGUGGAGAUGUUGAACAAUCCUGGCCAUGUGUUGACUCCUGAGAAAUAGCAGUUGUAAGUGAUCGCCAGCCAGAUGUUGAAUGCUGGAGCAUCAUCCUUGGAGCUGAUGGAGCAUUCAGUCUUCCAGCAUCUUUUGCAGUUCAUCUUUGAGGUCUAUAUUUCAUCAGCUUAGCUACGAAAGUAAUGUUUGCAAAACACAAGGAUACUUGUGCAGAAGUAUUUCCCUUCCUAAAACAUCAGCAUUUUCAGACCUAAACUUUUCUUUUUUUUUUCUUUUUUGGACACACUUUUUGCACUGCUUUGGUGUUGACUCAACCUGAGAACAAGUGUUUUGUUAUUGUG